UACAGAGGUCCCGAGCGUUUGUUCGGAUUCAUUGGGCGUAAAGGGUGCGUAGGCGGCUUCCUAAGUUUGAUGUGAAAUCCUGGGGCUCAACCCUGGAACUGCAUUGAAUACUGGGAGGCUAGAGUACUGGAGAGGAAACUGGAAUUUACGGUGUAGCAGUGAAAUGCGUAGAGAUCGUAAGGAAGACCAGUGGCGAAGGCGAGUUUCUGGACAGUUACUGACGCUGAGGCACGAAAGGCCCAGGGGGAGCAAAACGGGG
rnacentral:rRNA from 1 species